GACGAACGCUGGCGGCGUGCUUAACACAUGCAAGUCUAACGGAAAGGCCCUGCUGUUGUGUGGUGCUCGUGUGGCGAACGGGUGAGUAACAAGUGAGUAACCUGCCCUUGACUUUGGGAUAACUUCAGGAAACUGGGGCUAAUACCGGAUAGGAGCUCCUGCUGCAUGGUGUGGGUUGGAAAGUUUCGGCGGUUGGGGAUGGACUCGCGGCUUAUCAGCUUGUUGGUGGGGUAGUGGCUUACCAAGGCUUUGACGGGUAGCCGGCCUGAGAGGGUGACCGGCCACAUUGGGACUGAGAUACGGCGCAGACUCCUACGGGAGGCAGCAGUGGGGAAUAUUGCACAAUGGGCGGAAGCCUGAUGCAGCAACGCCGCGUGCGGGAUGACGGCCUUCGGGUUGUAAACCGCUUUCGCCGGUGACGAAGCGUGAGUGACGGUAAUGGGUAAAGAAGCACCGGCUAACUACGUG
rnacentral:rRNA from 1 species